rnacentral:tRNA from 1 species
GCAUAGCUCAGUGGUUUAUAGAGCGUCCAACCGGCACCUGGAUGGUCAUGGGUUCGAUUCCCGUUGGGGAGCU